ensembl:lncRNA
GUUGUGUUUUUGUUUGAAUCAAGUUUGUCCUACCUGUUUAACAGUGUGUCAGUCUAAAUUGUCAGUUGCUCACCUAAUAUAAAACUGUUUUAAUAUUUUAUGUCUGUUUAGGUGUUGUGGAAAUGUUCACAUCAUCAGAUAGAUUAUACAUAACAAUUUGUAUCUUGUGGUAUCAUUGAUAUACAAUUAAUAUUGGAAGGUCAAGACUGGACAAAUAGUUUAGAAAACACUACAAAUAGCAAUCAGUCUACAGUGUGUGGAAAUUGUCAAAGGCUGUCAUUGUUUUAAAAAAUCUGUGAAGAAGUUAUGAUUCCAUUUACAAUAGGUUGUGCUUGAUCUUUCCCCAAUAUCUCAGUUGAUUUCUUUGAUUUAUAUUUAAUCAGUUGAAUUGUUUACAUUGAAGUACCAAGAGAUGUGUAAAGUGGUUUGCUAAUGUGUAAUUCCUAAGACAUUGCACAUUGUUUUGUUAUUGUUCUUUAACCAUAUACAUGGUUUUAAAGGGCUUAAAGCUUGUUACAGCAUCAUGUGCAAUGUGUUACAUAGUGUCUCAGUAAAAUGUUUUGUGAAGUUACAACAGUAGGAUGUUUACAAACAUUGCUUAAAGAUGCAUUCCGGGAUUUUUGGCCACUGGUCGUAACAGUGGCGCUGUCGAGUCAAAAUGGGUUUUGGGUUUUUCCUAUAAAUUGGUUCCCAGUUCAGACCUACACAACCAGGUGAGGGUAGAAACGAACCAAUUAGUGACCUAAUUAAUCAAUCAAGUACAAGGUGAGAGUGAAAACCUGCAGACACUCGGCCCUCCGUGGAACCGGUUUGACACCUCUGGUGUAGUAUGAUAUUUAAGUGCUGAUAUGUCAUCAAAACAUGAGAAUGUGUUCUUAGUUAUAACGGUCGUUAAUAUACAUAGCUAAUUAUAUUUUUCAAAACAGUAAUGUGAAAAUAACCAGACAAUAAUAUACAACCAGUAAUAUCCAUUUGUACUCUAAACAUGAGUACAUUAAAUGUUGUACAUAUGAGUAAUUUAGCAGUUGUACAUGUACCUCUAUGUUUUAUAUCUGUAAAUGUGUGAUAAAGUGAUUGUAUAAUAAUAUUUUUUGUAAGUAAAUCUAAAUC